rnacentral:lncRNA from 1 species
ACGAGCCGUCGGUCUGUUACUUCCACUAGCAACUAGAAGGUAUAAGUGUUUGGAGGAUAUGGAUACAUUCCAGUGGAUACGUGUCAACUCAUUUAUAUCAUAUCUAUGAGUCUAUAUUAUACUAAUUCGAGCAAUUCGGUGUUUCAUGCCUAAUUGUGUGGUUUGUGAUUGACUUGCAUCCCUAAACACCAUGAUAGAUGUGAGAACCUGAACAUUGACUUCCGAUCACCAUAUGUUGAGCCUUUAUAGAGAGCGAUUAGUAGAUUUGCUUGAGGACAAGCAAGUGUUUAAGUGUGGG